AUACGGAGGGGGUUAGCGUUGUUCGGAAUUACUGGGCGUAAAGCGCACGUAGGCGGACUGGAAAGUUGGGGGUGAAAUCCCGGGGCUCAACCCCGGAACUGCCUCCAAAACUUCCAAUCUAGAGAUCGAGAGAGGUGAGUGGAAUUCCAAGUGUAGGGGUGAAAUUCGUAGAUAUUUGGAGGAACACCAGUGGCGAAGGCGGCUCACUGGCUCGAUACUGACGCUGAGGUGCGAAAGCGUGGGGAGCAAACAGGAUUAGAAACCCCAGUAGUCC
rnacentral:rRNA from 1 species